UACGUAGGGUGCAAGCGUUGUCCGGAAUUAUUGGGCGUAAAGAGCUCGUAGGCGGUUUGUCGCGUCUGCUGUGAAAACUCGGGGCUUAACUCCGGGCCUGCAGUGGGUACGGGCAGACUAGAGUGUGGUAGGGGAGACUGGAAUUCCUGGUGUAGCGGUGGAAUGCGCAGAUAUCAGGAGGAACACCGAUGGCGAAGGCAGGUCUCUGGGCCACUACUGACGCUGAGAAGCGAAAGCAUGGGGAGCGAACAGG
rnacentral:rRNA from 1 species